CUCCCCCUCUAUAUAUUUCUCUCCCUCUUCCUCAAAACCCGCAACACCAUCCCCUCCAUCUCACUCUCUUCUCCAUCUCUCAGACUCUCAGUUCACACACUCUCUUCACCCUCUCUCUCUCCCUCUUCAAGAAACCCAAGAGAACCUCACAGAAAACCCAUCUCCUCCCUCACUCGUUCUAUCUUCAUCUCUCUCCCCAUUUCUCCAAAGAGAACCGCCUCCUCUACCCGCACCGACCCUCGCCGCUUCGUCCUCGUUUCCGCCCCCUCCAGCUCUCCUUGAGAUCCGACCAACUCUGACGAACAGCCCCCUUGAAUCCCCCAUGCUGCUGCCUUCCUCCUCCUCUCCUACCCCGCGCGGAGCCUUCCAGUCACCGCACCACCCCCUCACGCCGCCCUGCUUCCCGCGGUGAUCCCUCUCCUCUUCCCGGUGCUGCCUCGCAUCCACCAGCAGCGAGCAGCGGCGAAAACUGCCGUUGCCGCUUCGCCUAGCUGCCGGCAAGACCACGGAGCCCCGCCGGAUCCCCGUCAGCCCCGUCGGAGCCCACCGAGACUCUCCCGACAACUCCCGGCAACCUCCUCCCACCUCCGGCAAGCCCGAACAGCGAGGAAAGCUCCGAGCAGCAAGAAACGUGCCUGAACAGCGACCAAACGCGAAGAACUGCACUGCAGAUUUCUGCAGUUUUGUGUCGACUUCACACGCACUUUCCGAUCACCUCCGACCUCCAUUUUCGUCGAUUUCUUCUCCGUUCGCUGAAAACAGCAGCACUGUGCCAACUUCGCACGCGUUUCCCGGCCACUUCCGAUCUCCGUUUCCGCCACCGUCUUUACCGAUGCGUAGCCCUUCGUGUUGUCUAUCACACAGUAUAUUCCUUUUACUUGGGCUCCUUAUCUACACAUCGUUAUAUUCAUUCGAAUAUCGCUAAUCGCUACUAAUACCUCUUUUGUAUUCUAACCGAUUGACUUUCCGACGAGCCGUUGAACCUGUUGUGACCCGUGUAUCCACCCCGACGACCCCCGCUGCAGUUGACGACGUACCCGAGGCAAGAUCCCGAUCCUUAUUUAGUUUCGUUCCAAUCCUUAUAUUUUUCAUAGAUUAUUUAUGUGCAAGAUCCCGUUUCCCUUUGACUCGUCAAUUCAAUUUCUGGAUCUGUUGCGAAUUAUUUGUGCUGUAAUAUGAUUAGUUAUAACUAGUAUAUUACGGUUA